AGUGAACGCUGGCGGUAGGCCUAACACAUGCAAGUCGAACGGCAGCACAGUAAGAGCUUGCUCUUACGGGUGGCGAGUGGCGGACGGGUGAGGAAUACAUCGGAAUCUACUUUUUCGUGGGGGAUAACGUAGGGAAACUUACGCUAAUACCGCAUACGACCUACGGGUGAAAGCAGGGGAUCUUCGGACCUUGCGCGAUUGAAUGAGCCGAUGUCGGAUUAGCUAGUUGGCGGGGUAAAGGCCCACCAAGGCGACGAUCCGUAGCUGGUCUGAGAGGAUGAUCAGCCACACUGGAACUGAGACACGGUCCAGACUCCUACGGGAGGCAGCAGUGGGGAAUAUUGGACAAUGGGCGAAAGCCUGAUCCAGCCAUACCGCGUGGGUGAAGAAGGCCUUCGGGUUGUAAAGCCCUUUUGUUGGGAAAGAAAAGCAGCAGGUUAAUACCCCGCUGUUCUGACGGUACCCAAAGAAUAAGCACCGGCUAACUUCGUGC
rnacentral:rRNA from 1 species